CUACGGCGGGCAGCAGUGGGGAAUAUUGGACAAUGGGCGAAAGCCUGAUCCAGCCAUGCCGCGUGUGUGAAGAAGGCCUUCGGGUUGUAAAGCACUUUCAGUGGGGAAGAAAGCCUUGGGGCUAAUACCCUCGAGGAAGGACAUCACCCACAGAAGAAGCACCGGCUAACUCCGUGCCAGCAGCCGCGGUAAUACGGAGGGUGCGAGCGUUAAUCGGAAUUACUGGGCGUAAAGCGCGCGUAGGCGGUCUGAUAAGCCGGUUGUGAAAGCCCCGGGCUCAACCUGGGAACGGCAUCCGGAACUGUCAGGCUAGAGUGCAGGAGAGGAAGGUAGAAUUCCCGGUGUAGCGGUGAAAUGCGUAGAGAUCGGGAGGAAUACCAGUGGCGAAGGCGGCCUUCUGGACUGACACUGACGCUGAGGUGCGAAAGCGUGGGUAGCAAACAGGAUUAGAUACCCCGGUAGUC
rnacentral:rRNA from 1 species